rnacentral:lncRNA from 1 species
UACCUCUGGCAUUCCUAUCAGAGCCUGAACCACAGACAGUACCUUAGAGUCUAAGCUUAGGUACCUUUGUCUUGUUUUUGUGGCUAAGGAUUCUCAGAGUUGCGGGAUGCUGAUGAAAUUUAUCCCAAAAAGUGUGAAGAGUGCAAAGACCUUAUAGAAUCUGUGCUGGAGGAGGAGGUGCAGUUUCAGGAGAGGGAGCUGGCCGAAUUGCCGAGGUCAGCUGCAAGGCUCCGGAUACAUGAUCCCUUAAUUCAGGCUCAGGCUGAAGAACUGACCCACUUACGACAGAAGACACAGGAAGGGAGAGGUGUCUGCUACCUUUUUACCCAGCAUGUGAAGAACACAGUCAAGUCUUUUGAGGGCCUUCUCAGGAACACUGGCAUUGCCUACUACCAGAGACAGAGAUUCUGUGAGCAAAUGGUACAAGGAAGCCAGCUGACAGAGAUCCUUGUCAGAAAACUUGUCACAGAAUCACCCCCAAUUCUCACCAACAAACUGAGAAGAAAAAAAAAAGAAUUACCCCCAAGAACAUCUGAGGAAGCACAACAGGGACAGACUUGAAGGCACCUGGGCAGUCCUCUGGUUUUGGAGUAGAGAAAAUCACAACGGUAAGAAAAAUGAAGACAGGCAAAAGCCACUGGCUCCUAGGCUCAGGAGGGACAUCAAGGAGGAAGAAAUGGAUAAAGUCCUGGAGGGACUUCAAACAGUAUUUGACCCAUUCCAGCCGCCAUGACUCCCACCAGCUUCGCAGCAGCAAUGCCUUCCUCUUUGAUGCACAGGAAGGCCCCUCGGCUGUGGAUAUAGCCAGUCCUGGUGGAAUGGCUGCAGAAGAUGAGAUCCAGAGACAGCGGUAGCACCUGAAGGAGACCCUUUUCAUCAACAACUGCCUGUGAGAAAAGCUGGAAUGUCAUCUCAGCAGCUUUGAUGAAGAAAAUGGUGGGAGAGGCCCAAGUCAGUGCUUCUGGCAAUAUGUAUUUUUCUAAAGCAUGCACCUCUAAACUCUACAGGCACAUCAUAGAUUCCAUCGUCCAGCUGUAUAAUGAAAACAGAGUUCUCAGAGAACACCGGAGACUCCCCCGACUUGCCUGAAUCAAGUUUCUAGAGGUAACAACUGAUGUUGGAACUAUGAAAAGCUCUUCUCUACUUUUAACAAAGCUUAGUCACAAACAGUUCCCCAGUUGACGAGAACAACUAAAACAACAGAACAAUUGAAAGUCCAAAUUUGAAAGCUCCAUCUCCGAGAAGCAAAUUUUACAGCCACUCCAGAUUUGUAUUCCAAAUGGAUAGUUUGAUUAUAAAAAUCACAUCCCUUCAGCCUGCAAAUGUGAUAACUGCCCAAGAGACAGUGAUGCCUACAUCCAUAGAUAAUCCCCUUUCCCCCAACCUAUAUAUAACUGGAGUCAACAGCAGCUGGAGGAAAAUGGCAAGGACUUGUAAUCAAGAUUAAGUUAGAAAAACACUGCUGUAGACUGUUUAUCAGCUCUUCAGCAUAUGUCCGUUUUCCUUGAAGGAUGAGCGUUUAGAAACCUCUGACAAUAAAGUUUAUUUUACACAC